UGUAAGUCCUAAGUGAACUAUUCUAUAUAUUCUUUUUUUUUUUAAUUUAAUUUUGGGAUUUUAUUAAUAAAAUAACAAAAUACCACUUAGUCUUUACACAAGAUGGGUCAACCCAUCCGGAAACAAAAACAAAAUUAAACAAAGCCUACUUCUAACCUUUGAAUCGGCCCAACCCUCUAUUCUAUUACGUAUAAGAGUAAAAGUAGGACUUCCAAAAUAAGUAUCCACUCUUCCUUUCCUCUUCAACCCUACAACAUCUGAGCCAUGUUUCACUGUUCAACCGUCGCUUCAUCUUGCUCCAGCUCUGGGUGAUAAACACUGUGCCCUGGUUGCCUCUUGUUUGUGCAUAUCUCAACUUGCAGAAAUAUGGUUGGUAUGGAGAUAAUGGGAUGCUCAAAACCACAAAUAUUCAGGGAGUACUAUGACCUUCAGGUUUAUCAAUUUUAAUCCAACCAAGUGACCCUCGCUGUGAGUCCUUUUUAUUGGUUAUUGUAGUGUAGGCUAGUUAGUUGUUUUACUCAUUUUGUUGCCUCGAUGGCUUGUACAUAUUUGCAUGUGAAAAAACUAAGUUUUAGCCUCUCCAUUCUUCUCACCUUUUUCUAGUGACAAUCUUAAGUAUGAGCAUUGUAAUUUGUCAUUAUUAAUUAUCCUCUAACUUCUAGCUGCUGAAAGCUUGUGACUGUGAAAUACCCUUUAUCUAUUACCACAGUAGCUAGAUAAUCAGCUAAUUGAUUCCC